GUGCUUCCUUCAGCAGCACAUAUACUAAAAUUGGAACAAUACAGAAAUUAGCAUGGCCCCUGUGCAAGGAUGACAUGCAAAUUUGUGAAGCGUUCCAUAUAUAA
ensembl:snRNA U6 U6 spliceosomal RNA